rnacentral:rRNA from 1 species
GACGAACGCUGGCGGCGUGCUUAACACAUGCAAGUCGAACGGAAAGGCCCUGCUUUUGUGGGGUGCUCGAGUGGCGAACGGGUGAGUAACACGUGAGUAACCUGCCCUUGACUUUGGGAUAACUUCAGGAAACUGGUGCUAAUACCGGAUAGGAGCUCCUGCUGCAUGGUGGGGGUUGGAAAGUUUCGGCGGUUGGGGAUGGACGCGCGGCUUAUCAGCUUGUUGGUGGGGUAGUGGCUUACCAAGGCUUUGACGGGUAGCCGGCCUGAGAGGGUGACCGGCCACAUUGGGACUGAGAUACGGCCCAGACUCCUACGGGAGGCAGCAGUGGGGAAUAUUGCACAAUGGGCGGAAGCCUGAUGCAGAAACGCCGCGUGCGGGAUGACGGCCUUCGGGUUGUAAACCGCUUUCGCCUGUGACGAAGCGUGAGUGACGGUAAUGGGUAAAGAAGCACCGGCUAACUACGUG